rnacentral:lncRNA from 1 species
CACAGAAUCCAAUGCUGUGAUGCUGAUGUUCCUGAAACCAUAGCAUGCUACUCUUCACAGUGACGUCGUACUCCUCCUUCUGCACUGCGAGGCCACUUUUCUUCAUUGUGAGAUGCACAUGUUUAGGAUACUGCAGUGUAGGCUUUUUUAAAGACCAAAGGUAGCUGAAUGGUUUUUUAAUGAGUACAACUUUAGCAUCCUCGUUCGAGUUCUAUAAAUGUAUUUGUUUACCAGUAGGUUUGUGAAAUUGGUUCUUUGUAUGGGGACAGUCCUUUUUCACAUAUCUAGGUUUUCUCAGAAGUGGUGGGAAUUUGGCAGCUGGGGUACUUUAAGUGUAGAUUGAUAUUUAUCUUGCCUCAGGUAAGAUGAAUAUUACAAAGUUGCACUUUAUAGAUGGUGGUUAAAUGGAGCUGUUGAAGCCAUUUUAGAGCUGUGAUGCACAGUAUAACAUAAGUGCUUCUAUCAGAGUAUUCCUCAGUACAGUAUGUAUAGUUGGCCCACAUCAAGCAAAAACAUAUUUAUCUUGGGUUUAUUUAAACAAUUAGGAUAAAAUUUGAUGCUUAUAGUGUUGGUUCACUCAUCUCCAGAGCCCUGCAGCCCUAUUAGAGUGAGUCACAUGCAGGGAGGGUGAACGUCAAGAGGUGGUUUACUGUCCAGUCUGCCUUAUCCUUAAUCUGUUCAUAUAUUUAUUUACUAAUGCUUUUUUCUUAAGAGUUAUGGGAUAGAAAAACAAACUGUUUGCUCUUCAUUUACUAAAUGAUUGUAAACUCGAGUUUUUCAUCAAAAUAAAAUUUCAUUGUUUU